rnacentral:tRNA from 1 species
GAGGGUAUAGCUCAGUGGUAGAGAGUGUGCUUAGCAUGCACGAGGUCCUGGAUUCAAUCCCCAUUUAUCUCC